CCUUUACACCUGGCAGCCAGCUGCUUCCAGUCACUCUUUGCUUCCUCCGAUGCUACCCAGUAAACUCUUCUGGCUAACUGGGAGACCUCAGUCAAUACAGCCUCAACCAAAGAGGAUAAUGAAGUCCAGGAAUGCACUUUUCUCUGGAGGAACCCAUUGUAGUAGACUGAAGCAGAAGCAACAGAAAGUACUGAGACAUUUCACUGUGUAUACUGAAGACCUAGAUCAAUUUUAAUCUUGCCCAGAGAAAACAACAAAGCGAAUAAAAAGGUGUAAAUUAGAAGAGAAUGAAGAAAGAAGAACAAACAAGACUGGACUGAGAAGACAGACAAGCUUUUCUGAAGACAUUUAGAGAUGUGGCUUUUCUGCUUGCUCACUUUCUGAAAUAAUCUGUUUUGUUGUUAUUGUUGUGAUUGGUUUUAAUCUAACAGCUACUUCCCAUGCAUGUGUACUAAGAUUUGGUCACAAACAGCACCAGUAGAGAGAAAGCCCUAUUCCAAAUAUAAUUUCCUAAAAUAGAGGUGGAAUGGCUUGAGAUCAUAUUCAGAAACUAAGGCAGUUUUGUUGCACCAUCAUACCUUUGCACUCUGUCCUUACGUCCAUCAAUCAAUUUUCCUUUUGAUUCAUUUGCAAUUGGUAACAACAGUUACUUGUUUUUAGAAAAUUGUUGUUUUUAUCACAUACUGAUAUAAUCACAAUUUUCUAUUGUCUUGCAAAUGACUUCACCUUUUCUGAAAAAAAAAACAAGCCACCAAAACAACAAAAGUUUCAUCAUUCAUCUUAUCUUGAUGUUUUGCUAUGCACUUUUAUUUAUGUACUUAUUUCUACUGCUUGCUAACAGUUUUAUUUGGAAGACAAUAUUCAGAAGCCUCGCAUACAGCAAUUGCUUUUGCCUAUCUCCUUGCAUUGCUCUGGCUAGCAGAUUAUCCCACAAAUUAUUCCACUGGUAAUUAGAACACCUGCUAAAUGUUCAGAUUCCUCUGAUUUAGCUAUAUUGCAUCCUCAUUCUCAGCAUCGUUAAUGGCAAAUAGGCUCAUCUUGCUCCUAGCUUACUGGAUAUAAAUUGUACCUUCUCUAAGGAGCAUUCUUGCAUAGAUCAGUGUUCUAAGGGCACAUCCUGAAAUCUUGCUUAGUCAUACGCAGUCUUGUUCAUGGAGUUUACAGAAUAGAUGCUUCACUCCAACCUAAUGUACUGUUGUGUACAGAACGAUGUGAAGAUUUUACCCUUGGUCUUCUUCAGUGACAGCCCUGCAG
rnacentral:lncRNA from 7 species